rnacentral:rRNA from 1 species
UUCCAGCUCCAAUAGCGUAUAUUAAAGUUGUUGCAGUUAAAAAGCUCGUAGUUGAAUUUCGGGGUUAGUAGGCUGGUCGUGCCACUGGUAUGUACUGGUCUUACUGACUUCUCCUUUCUGAAGGACUGUAAUGCCAUUAAUUUGGUGUUGCAGGGAAUCAGGACUGUUACUUUGAAAAAAUUAGAGUGUUUAAAGCAGGCUAACGCUUGAAUACAUUAGCAUGGAAUAAUGAAAUAGGACGUUCGAUCCUAUUUUGUUGGUUUCUAGGAUUGACGUAAUGAUUAAUAGGGAUAGUUGGGGGCAUUAGUAUUCAAUUGUCAGAGGUGAAAUUCUUGGAUUUAUUGAAGACUAACUACUGCGAAAGCAUUUGCCAAGGAUGUUUUCAUUAAUCAAGAACGAAAGUUAGGGGAUCGAAGACGAUCAGAUACCGUCGUAGUCUUAACCAUAAACUAUGCCGACUAGGGAUCGG